UACGAAGGGGGCUAGCGUUGCUCGGAAUCACUGGGCGUAAAGGGUGCGUAGGCGGGUUUUUAAGUCAGGGGUGAAAUCCUGGAGCUCAACUCCAGAACUGCCUUUGAUACUGAAGAUCUUGAGUCCGGGAGAGGUGAGUGGAAUUCCCGGUGUAGCGGUGAAAUGCGCAGAUAUCGGGAAGAACACCCGUGGCGAAGGCGGCUCUCUAGUACGGUACUGACGCUGAGACGCGAAAGCGUGGGGAGCGAACAGG
rnacentral:rRNA from 1 species